rnacentral:sRNA from 1 species
AUGUACCACUCGUGCACUCACUGCGGUUCCUACGCGCUGUCUGCACCCGCUGGUCACUGCGCGCUACGUUUUGUUUGCA